rnacentral:tRNA from 1 species
CUUGGCCGAGUGGUUAGGCGCCGGUCUGCAAAACCGUUUACAGCGGUUCGAAUCCGCU